ACUACUUGGCGGGAAACGUAAAAGUAAAUAAAACGUGCAGGCAUUGUGUUUUUGAUUCUUAGUGCUGGCUUACAAGCGGCUACAUGAUGUUUUGCUUUGUACGAGUACUGAAAAGCACAAGCUUUACACCCAGACAAAGUGUAUUAACCCAGCGUUUCUACAUGAACUCUAAUUCUGCAAAAGGCAGAGUCGGCGUCUUGGAGAGUGUAUUUGUGAUGGCCUUUAUUUCGAUUGCCGUCCUUGGUCCGGCUGGAUGGAUCCUGUCCAACGCCUGUGACUCCCACAGAAAACAGCCAUGACUGAGGAGGAUGCCUCCAGAUGGGUUUCAGACACAUCUUUGUAGUGGUUUGAGUCCUACAUGAUUAUGAUUGAUUUGUAACACAUUUUUUCCCAAAUCUGCUUAAAAUAAACAUCAGUCUGCAUAAGGUGUGAUAUGUUUGGUAAAUGUAAAAGUAGCACUUAAAUGAUUGCGCUUUCUGUUCUUUUCCUGUUACUGGCUUCGAGCAACUUCUGAAUGGUAAAAGUCUGUGCCUUGAUGUUAUCACGUUCACAAUGAUUUCUGAAAC